UCAGGAUGAACGCUGGCGGCGUGCCUAACACAUGCAAGUCGAACGAAGCGCCCGGAACAGAGGAUUCGUCCGAAGGAAGGGAUGACUGAGUGGCGGACGGGUGAGUAACGCGUGGAAACCUGCCCCAUGCAGGGGGACAACAGGGAGAAAUCCCUGCUAAUACCGCAUAAGCGCACGGCACGGCAUCGUGCAGUGUGAAAAGAUUUAUCGGCAUGGGAUGGUUCCGCGUCCGAUUAGCCAGCUGGCGGGGUAACGGCCCACCAGGGCAGCGAUCGGUAGCCGGCCUGAGAGGGCGGACGGCCACAUUGGGACUGAGACACGGCCCAGACUCCUACGGGAGGCAGCAGUGGGGGAUAUUGCACAAUGGGGGGAACCCUGAUGCAGCGACGCCGCGUGGGUGAAGAAGUAUUUCGGUAUGUAAAGCCCUAUCGGCAGGGAAGAUGAUGACGGUACCUGACUAAGAAGCCCCGGCUAACUACGUGCCAGCAGCCGC
rnacentral:rRNA from 1 species